GGGAUACAGCUCAGUUGGUAGAGUGCUUGCCUUGCAUGCAUGAGGCCCUGGGAUCGACCCCCAGGAUCACA
rnacentral:tRNA from 1 species